rnacentral:rRNA from 1 species
CGAAAGCCUGACGGAGCAAGACCGCGUGAGGGAGGAAGGCUCUUGGGUUGUAAACCUCUUUUCUCAGGGAAGAAGCUCUGACGGUACCUGAGGAAUCAGCCUCGGCUAACUCCGUGCCAGCAGCCGCGGUAAUACGGAGGAGGCAAGCGUUAUCCGGAAUUAUUGGGCGUAAAGCGUUCGCAGGUGGCCAUUCAAGUCUGCUGUCAAAGACCAGAGCUCAACUCUGGGUAGGCGGUGGAAACUGAAUAGCUAGAGUGCGGUAGGGGUAGAGGGAAUUCCCAGUGUAGCGGUGAAAUGCGUAGAGAUUGGGAAGAACAUCGGUGGCGAAAGCGCUCUACUGGACCGCAACUGACACUCAGGGACGAAAGCUAGGGGAGCG